AUUGAACGCUGGCGGAAUGCUUUACACAUGCAAGUCGAGCGGCAGCGCGGCCUUCGGGCUGGCGGCGAGCGGCGAACGGGUGAGUAAUGCAUCGGAACAUGCCCAGUCGUGGGGGAUAACACUUCGAAAGAAGUGCUAAUACCGCAUACGUCCUGAGGGGGAAAGCGGGGGAUCGCAAGACCUCGCGCGAUUGGAGUGGCCGAUGUCAGAUUAGCUAGUUGGUGGGGUAAAGGCCUACCAAGGCGACGAUCUGUAGCUGGUCUGAGAGGAUGAUCAGCCACACUGGGACUGAGACACGGCCCAGACUCCUACGGGAGGCAGCAGUGGGGAAUUUUGGACAAUGGGGGCAACCCUGAUCCAGCCAUUCCGCGUGAGUGAAGAAGGCCUUCGGGUUGUAAAGCUCUUUCGGCAGGAACGAAACGGUGGGCUCUAACAUAGUCCGCUAAUGACGGUACCUGAAGAAGAAGCAUCGGCUAACUACGUG
rnacentral:rRNA from 1 species